ensembl:ncRNA F13H6.6 ncRNA
UCUAUUGCGCAACUUGUGUGCAUACAAAUAUUGUGCUCUUCCGCGCGGAAAAGUGAGGGCGCGAAAGAUUAGAGUGGCGUCCACGUGUACGAGCAGGGCGCAGGGCUCUCCCACUGUGUCUGGCCAUUUUUUUGGGUU